rnacentral:rRNA from 1 species
AUACGGAGGGUGCAAGCGUUGUUCGGAAUCACUGGGCGUAAAGCGCACGUAGGCGGAUUGGAAAGUUGGGGGUGAAAUCCCAGGGCUCAACCCUGGAACUGCCUCCAAAACUAACAGUCUAGAGUUCGAGAGAGGUGAGUGGAAUUCCAAGUGUAGAGGUGAAAUUCGUAGAUAUUUGGAGGAACACCAGUGGCGAAGGCGGCUCACUGGCUCGAUACUGACGCUGAGGUGCGAAAGCGUGGGGAGCAAACAGGAUUAGAAACCCGAGUAGUCC